rnacentral:sRNA from 2 species
CUGUCCCACGUAUUAUCAAGUUUCACACAUUUCAAACUCUUCCUGGAACCAUUCUAGAGAACAAGUACCCGCAUCAGGCCACUUAGAUGCUGCGCACCCGGAAUCGGUGAACGUGGGCACCUAGCCUGCGCCACCAGGGCUUCGUUCAGUCUGACUGGUACACAUAAUAAGAUUAGAUAUGUGUGUGAAUCUAGAAUCAGUUUGUCAUUGUCAACGCGAAGUUAGACGGAAGCCGAUGAGGGCGUUCUAUUCUGCUGAUCAAAUGAUCAUUCCAGUCUCUACAUUCUAAGACGCAAUAUAUACCUAAAAUGACAAAACAAAUCAGUGCAUCCCGCCUCAUUGAUUCACUAGAUGGCCUUAACGCUUAGACUGUCUGUCAAUUUCUCGAAUCCCUACAACUUAACAUUUGCGUCGAUAAUUUUGCUCACGGCCUUCCACCCUUCUCCCGCGGGAACCUCAAUCACACGGCGCUCUUUCUUCAGCAACCCCGCAAACUCCGGUGGAACAAUGUUGUCAAACUUGUAGCCAUCCUGGCCUCCUAGCGCCAUAUCAACAGCUGAAACGAAUUUUGCCGGGUGCGCCGUUGACAGAGAAAUAUGAUGUGUGCCAGGGUUGCGAUCAAUAGAUCGAAGGGAAGCAGCAACUCCAACAGCGGAGUGUGGAUCAAGGAUGUAUCCACCCGUGCUGCCUCUUGUUCCGCUACUAACUGGGGAGGCGGGGAAACAAGAGGAGUAGAUGUCGCGAAUAGUGUCGAUGGUUUCCAAAUCGGAGACACGCUCAGAUUCGAAAUGUUCUUUGGCAGCAUCAAGAACGGCUGGCUCAACGCUGAAGCCGCCUUGAGUUUGCAGAUCGCCAAGCCAUCUGCGGACGAUAUCGCUGGCUCGUUGUCGCUGUAGAGGAAUAUCUCCGUCUCCGCCAAAGACUUUGAGGGCGAGAAACCAGAGGAGGCGCUCGAAAUUGCUUGAGACUAGGAUAUCCAUGGCUGGGCUGAAGGUUUCUUUGACGCCGCUCGGCUCUGCGCCUGUGGCCCCAUUCCCGGCAGGUUUCUUGGUAUACUGGCCGGUUUUCCAGAAUCGGUCAAGAAUGUCGUUUUCGUUUGUUGCGAUGACUAGCUUUUCUGUGAGAAGGCCCAUUUGUUUUGCAAACCAGCCAGCCUGUAUUUCGUUAGCUCCACAUUAAAUAACCCCUGUAAAGGUUGAUCGUAAAGCUCUCCAGGGAUCUACUUACAAGGAUAUCACCGAAAUUGCCUGAUGGUACGACAAACCUUAUGGGCUUGUCUUUGGCGUAUUUUGGACUUCUGGUGAGGGAGAAAUAAGAGUGAAUGUAGUAAGUCAUUUGGGCAAGGAUGCGCGCCCAAUUUAUCGAGUUCACACUCGCCAACUUGUACUUGAGGUUCAUCUCUGGAUCGGCAAACAUCGACUUGACCAUAGCUUGGCAGUCAUCGAAGGAGCCUUGAACCCUAAGGUUAUGGACAUUGGGAUCGAGGACGGUCGUCAUUUGGGCCUCUUGGAUAGCAGAGACUUUUCCCUUAGGAUGCAGAAUGAAUAUCGAAGUAUCUUCCUUCCCUCUCAGGCCAUAUAUAGCAGCGGAACCAGUGUCUCCACUCGUAGCUCCGAUCACAACGAGGUGCAGUCGGUCUUUUCCACUCUUCCCUUGAUUUCGCCGUACAAGGAAAUACUCAAAGAGGUUCCCGAGGAACUGCAGAGCAACAUCCUUGAAUGCAAACGUCGGGCCGCAGAACAGUUCAAGAAGGUAGAGUUGCUUUGAGUCAUCGAGGGUAACGAGGGGCGUAACAUCUGUC